AAUGGGGGCAACCCUGACGCAGCAACGCCGCGUGCGGGAUGAAGGUCUUCGGAUUGUAAACCGAUUUCAGUAGGGAAUAUUAUGAAGGUACCUACAGAAGAAGCACUGGCUAAAUACGUGCCAGCAGCCGCGGUAAUACGUAUGGUGCGAGCGUUNUCNGGAAUCAUUGGGCGUAAAGCUCGCGUAGGCGGCUUGUUAAGCAGGAAUUUAAAUCUUAGGGCUCAACCUUAAGUCGGUUCCUGAACUGGCAGGCUAGAGUGCGGUAGAGGAAGGUGGAAUUCCCAGUGUAGCGGUGAAAUGCGCAGAUAUUGGGAAGAACACCGAUGGCGAAGGCCGCCUUCUGGGCCGCCACUGACGCUGAGGCGCGAAAGCUAGGGGAGCGAA
rnacentral:rRNA from 1 species